rnacentral:rRNA from 1 species
UACGUAGGGUGCGAGCGUUAAUCGGAAUUACUGGGCGUAAAGGGCGCGUAGGCGGCCUUCUAAGUCGAACGUGAAAUCCCUGGGCUCAACCCAGGAACUGCGUCCGAUACUGAAAGGCUUGAAUCCGGGAGAGGGAUGCGGAAUUCCAGGUGUAGCGGUGAAAUGCGUAGAUAUCUGGAGGAACACCGGUGGCGAAGGCGGCAUCCUGGACCGGUAUUGACGCUGAGGCGCGAAAGCCAGGGGAGCAAACGGG